GUGAAUCAUCGAAUCUUUGAACGCAACUUGCGCCCUCUGGUAUUCCGGAGGGCAUGCCUGUUUGAGUGUCAUGUAGACUCAAUCCCUCGGGUUUCCGAGGAGAUUGGACCUGGGUGUCUGCCUCUCUUGGCUCACCUUAAAAGACUUAGCAGGAUAGCGCCAUAAUCGACGUAAUAAGUUUCGUCGGUGAAGGUGUGAUGUCUGCUCACAAUCGCCCUUGGGCACUUUUUGACUCUGACCUCAAAUCAGGUAGGACUACCCGCUGAACUUAAGCAUAUCAAUAAGCGGAGGA
rnacentral:misc_RNA from 1 species